ACAAAAACAUGUCCUGUAGAACUAUUAAUUUUAGGUCUAACCUGCUCAAUGAAAAUUUUAAAUUGCUAUAGUAUUUUAACUAUACAAAGGUAGCAUAAUAAUUUGUCUUUUAAUUGAAGGCUUGUAUGAAUGGUUGGACGAAGGUAAAACUUUCUUAACUUAAAUUUAUUAUUGAAUUUAAUUUUUUUGUAAAAAAGCUUAAAUUUAGUUGUGGGACGAGAAGACCCUAUAGAAUUUUAAUGAAUUUUAUAUUACUUAAUUUUGGGUUUUAAUUUAUUAUUUAAUAUGAAAUUUAUUUACGCUGGGGUGGUGGUAGAAUUAAAUUAACUUCUAUUAAUAUUUUUCAUAAAUUAGUGUAUAUUAUGAUCCUGUUUUAUGGAUUAAAAGAUUAAAUUACCUUAGGGAUAACAGCGUUAUUACUUCGGAGAGUUCUUAUCGAUGAAGUAGUUUGCGACCUCGAUGUUGGAUUAAAGUUAGAUAUAUAGUGCAGAAGCUUAAUUUCUAGGUCUGUUCGACCUUUAAACCUUUACAUGAUCUGAGUUC
rnacentral:rRNA from 1 species